rnacentral:rRNA from 1 species
UGGGGGAGACCUGAUGCAGCCAUGCCGCGUGUGUGAAGAAGGCCUUCGGGUUGUAAAGCACUUUCAGCAGUGAGGAAGGUAAUGUACUUAAUACGUGCAUUGCUUGACGUUAGCUGCAGAAGAAGCACCGGCUAACUCCGUGCCAGCAGCCGCGGUAAUACGGAGGGUGCGAGCGUUAAUCGGAAUUACUGGGCGUAAAGCGCAUGCAGGCGGUUUGUUAAGUCAGAUGUGAAAGCCCGGGGCUCAACCUCGGAACCGCAUUUGAAACUGGCAGGCUAGAGUCUUGUAGAGGGGGGUAGAAUUUCAGGUGUAGCGGUGAAAUGCGUAGAGAUCUGAAGGAAUACCAGUGGCGAAGGCGGCCCCCUGGACAAAGACUGACGCUCAGAUGCGAAAGCGUGGGUAGCAAACAGGAUUAGAUACCCUGGUAGUCCACGCCGUAAACGCUGUCUACUUGGAGGUUGAGGUUUAAGACUUUGGCUUUCGGCGCUAACGCAUUAAGUAGACCGCCUGGGGAGUACGGCCGCAAGGUUAAAACUCAAAUGAAUUGACGGGGGCCCGCACAAGCGGUGGAGCAUGUGGUUUAAUUCGAUGCAACGCGAAGAACCUUACCUACUCUUGACAUCCAGCGAAUCCUUUAGAGAUAGAGGAGUGCCUUCGGGAGCGCUGAGACAGGUGCUGCAUGGCUGUCGUCAGCUCGUGUUGUGAAAUGUUGGGUUAAGUCCCGCAACGAGCGCAACCCUUAUCCUUGUUUGCCAGCACGUAAUGGUGGGAACUCCAGGGAGACUGCCGGUGAUAAACCGGAGGAAGGUGGGGACGACGUCAAGUCAUCAUGGCCCUUA